UUUUAGUUUUUUAUUCUUGGUCAGGACGAACGCUGGCGGCGUGCUUAACACAUGCAAGUCGAGCGAUGAAGCUUUUUUUCGGGAAGUGGAUUAGCGGCGGACGGGUGAGUAACACGUGGGUAACCCGCCUCAAAGUGGGGGGAUACCCUUUCCGAAAGGAAAGAUUAAUACCGCAUAACAUAAGAGAAUCGCAUGAUUUUUUUAUCAAAGAUUUAUUGCUUUGAGAUGGACCCGCGGCGCAUUAGAUAGUUGGUAAGGUAACGGCUAACCAAGGCAACGAUGCGUAGCCGACCUGAGAGGGUGAUCGGCCACAUUGGAACUGAGACACGGUCCAGACUCCUACGGGAGGCAGCAGUGGGGAAUAUUGCGCAAUGGGGGAAACCCUGACGCAGCAACGCCGCGUGGGUGAUGAAGGUCUUCGGAUUGUAAAACCCUGUUUUCUGGGACGAUAAUGACGGUACCAGAGGAGGAAGCCACGGCUAACUACGUGCCAGCASCCGCGGUAAUACGUAGGUGGCGAGCGUUGUCCGGAUUUACUGGGCGUAAAGGGUGCGUAGGCGGAUGUUUAAGUGGGAUGUGAAAUCCCCGGGCUUAACCUGGGGGCUGCAUUCCAAACUGGAUAUAUAGAGUGCAGGAGAGGAAAGCGGAAUUCUUAGUGUAGCGGUGAAAUGCGUAGAGAUUAGGAAGAACACCAGUGGCGAAGGCGGCUUUCUGGGCUGUAACUGACGCUGAGGCACGAAAGCGUGGGUAGCAAACAGGAUUAGAUACCCUGGUAGUCCACGCCGUAAACGAUGGAUACUAGGUGUAGGGGGUAUCAACUCCCCCUGUGCCGCAGUAACACAAUAAGAUACCGCCG
rnacentral:rRNA from 1 species